GACGAACGCUGGCGGCGUGCCUAAUACAUGCAAGUCGAGCGAAUCUUUUGGGAGCUUGCUCCCAAAAGAUUAGCGGCGGACGGGUGAGUAACAGGUGGGCAACCUGCCUAUAAGCUUGGGAUAACCUCGGGAAACCGGAGCUAAUACCGGAUACGUUCUUUUUUCGCAUGAGAGAAGAUGGAAAGUCGGCUUCUAGCUGUCACUUAUAGAUGGGCCCGCGGCGCAUUAGCUAGUUGGUGGGGUAAUGGCUCACCAAGGCGACGAUGCGUAGCCGACCUGGGAGUGUGAUCGGCCACACUGGGACUGAGACACGGCCCAGACUCCUACGGGAGGCAGCAGUAGGGAAUCUUCCGCAAUGGACGAAAGUCUGACGGAGCAACGCCGCGUGAACGAAGAAGGCCUUCGGGUCGUAAAGUUCUGUUGUUAGGGAAGAACAAGUACCAGAGUAACUGCUGGUACCUUGACGGUACCUAACCAGAAAGCCACGGCUAACUACGUGCCAGCCGCCGCCGUAAUAC
rnacentral:rRNA from 1 species